rnacentral:rRNA from 1 species
CACGCAGGCGGCCAUGCAAGUUGGAUGUGAAAGCCCUGGGCUCAACCUGGGAACUGCAUUCAAAACUGCACGGCUUGAGUUCGGGAGAGGGUGGUGGAAUUCCUGGUGUAGAGGUGAAAUUCGUUGAUAUCAGGAGGAACACCGGCGGCGAAGGCGGCCACCUGGUCCGAUACUGACGCUCAUGUGCGAAAGCGUGGGUAGCAAACA